GUGCCAGCCGCCGCGGUAAAACGUAGGAGGCAAGCGUUAUCCGGAUUUACUGGGUGUAAAGCGCGUGCAGGCGGACGACCAAGUCACGUGUGAAAGCGCCCGGCUCAACCGGGCGAGGACGGGUGAAACUGGUCGACUGGAGUCUGGUAGAGGCGUGUGGAAUUCCGGGUGUAGUGGUGAAAUGCGUAGAGAUCCGGAGGAACACCAGUGGCGAAGGCGACACGCUGGGCCAAGACUGACGCUCAGACGCGAAAGCAUGGGGAGCGAACGGGAUUAGAAACCCGAGUAGUCC
rnacentral:rRNA from 1 species